GAUGAAGACGUAGCGAAAUGCGAUAAGUAGUGUGAAUUGCAGAAUUCAGUGAAUCAUCGAAUCUUUGAACGCACAUUGCGCCCCUUGGUAUUCCAUGGGGCAUGCCUGUUCGAGCGUCAUUUGUACCUUCAAGCUUUGCUUGGUGUUGGGUGUUUGUCCCGAGGGACUCGCCUUAAAGUAAUUGGCAGCCAGUGUUUGGUUUUGAAGCGCAGCACAAGUCGCGAUUCAAGGCUACACGCCCGCUUCCACAAGCCUUUUUUCACUUUUGACCUCGGAUCAGGUAGGGAUACCCGCUGAACUUAAGCAUAUCAAUAAGCGGAGGA
rnacentral:misc_RNA from 1 species